UACGGAGGGUGCGAGCGUUGUCCGGAAUCACUGGGCGUAAAGAGCUCGUAGGCGGCUCAGUAAGUCGGGUGUGAAACCCUCAGGCUCAACCUGGGGACGCCACCCGAUACUGCUGUGGCUAGAGUCCAGUAGGGGAGUGUGGAAUUCCCGGUGUAGCGGUGAAAUGCGCAGAUAUCGGGAGGAACACCAGCGGCGAAGGCGGCACUCUGGGCUGGUACUGACGCUGAGGAGCGAAAGCGUGGGUAGCAAACAGG
rnacentral:rRNA from 1 species